UACAGAGGUGGCAAGCGUUGUUCGGAAUUACUGGGCGUAAAGGGCGCGUAGGCGGCCUUCUAAGUCAGACGUGAAAUCCCCAGGCUUAACUUGGGAACUGCGUGUGAUACUGGCGAGCUUGAGUGCAGGAGAGGAACGCGGAAUUCCAGGUGUAGCGGUGAAAUGCGUAGAUAUCUGGAGGAACACCGGUGGCGAAGGCGGCCCCCUGGUUGGAUACUGACGCUGAGACGCGAAAGCGUGGGGAGCAAACAGG
rnacentral:rRNA from 1 species